rfam:Ophiostoma piceae TAMH 11346 chromosome Tnknown scf01, whole genome shotgun sequence.
GGCAAGAUGGCCGAGCGGUCUAAGGCGCUAGCUUCAGGAAGAUUCACAUCUCGAGAGAUCGAGAAUUCGAGUAUUCAUCUGGAACAUGCUAGUCUAGAAAUAGGCGUGGGUUCGAAUCCCACUCUUGUCA